AACUAAUAUAACUUUCAACAACGGAUCUCUUGGUUCUCGCAUCGAUGAAGAACGCAGCGAAUUGCGAUAAGUAAUGUGAAUUGCAGAAUUCAGUGAAUCAUCGAAUCUUUGAACGCAUCUUGCGCUCUUUGGUAUUCCGAAGAGCAUGCCUGUUUGAGUGUCAUGAAACUCUCACCUCC
rnacentral:rRNA from 2 species